UGGCUCGGUAUCUCCAACCUGUACGAUCACAAGACAUGGACCAGUGUCGAUGGUGACGACAUCAGAGAGAUCGGCUUCGACCGCUGGGCUGGGGAGAAUGGAUUGACCACCAGCAAUGCUGCAGAGGAGCCGCACUGUGCGGCGUUAGACGCGAUGAGCCCCGGCCUGCGAGACUGGUGGUGCCAUCUACCGCAGCCCUUCCUAUGUCAGAUACAACUCGACG